AUUGAACGCUGGCGGAAUGCUUUACACAUGCAAGUCGAACGGCAGCACGGGGGCAACCCUGGUGGCGAGUGGCGAACGGGUGAGUAAUACAUCGGAACGUGCCCGGUCGUGGGGGAUAACGUAGCGAAAGUUACGCUAAUACCGCAUACGAUCUGAGGAUGAAAGCGGGGGACCUUCGGGCCUCGCGCGAUCGGAGCGGCCGAUGUCAGAUUAGGUAGUUGGUGGGGUAAAGGCCUACCAAGCCGACGAUCUGUAGCUGGUCUGAGAGGACGACCAGCCACACUGGGACUGAGACACGGCCCAGACUCCUACGGGAGGCAGCAGUGGGGAAUUUUGGACAAUGGGCGCAAGCCUGAUCCAGCCAUUCCACGUGCAGGACGAUGGCCUUCGGGUUGUAAACUGCUUUUGUAUGGAACGAAAAGGCUCUGGCUAAUACCUGGGGCUCAUGACGGUACCGUAAGAAUAAGCACCGGCUAACUACGCG
rnacentral:rRNA from 1 species